rnacentral:snRNA from 1 species
GGAUGUGAGGGUGAUCUGGCUGUGACAUCUGUCACCCCAUUGAUCACCAGGGUUGAUUCAGCUGAUCUGGCUGGCUAGGCAGGUGUCCCCUUCCUCCCUCACUGCUCCAUGUGCAUCCCUCCCGAAGCUGCAUGCUCGGUCGAAGAGGAUGACCAUCCCUGAUAGAGGAGGACUGGUCUUCGGUCAAGGGUAUACGAGUAGCUGCGCUCCCCCAUUAGAACCUCCAAACAAGCUCUCAAGAAAUUAAUAUAAGAAAGGUAUCUAUUAAAAACCGAAACAUGAGAAAUUUU